rnacentral:rRNA from 1 species
UACAGAGGGUGCGAGCGUUAAUCGGAAUUACUGGGCGUAAAGCGCACGUAGGUGGAAUGAUAAGUCAGUCGUAAAAUACCUGAGCUUAACUUGGGGAUGUCGAUUGAAACUAUUUUUCUAGAGUAUUGGAGAGGGUAGAGGAAUUUCUGGUGUAGCGGUGAAAUGCGUAGAUAUCAGAAGGAACAUCAGUGGCGAAGGCGUCUACCUGGCCAAAUACUGACACUGAGGAGCGAAAGCGUGGGUAGCAAACAGG